rnacentral:rRNA from 1 species
UACGGAGGGGGCUAGCGUUGUUCGGAAUUACUGGGCGUAAAGCGCACGUAGGCGGCUUUGUAAGUUAGAGGUGAAAGCCCGGGGCUCAACUCCGGAAUUGCCUUUAAGACUGCAUCGCUAGAAUUGUGGAGAGGUAAGUGGAAUUCCGAGUGUAGAGGUGAAAUUCGUAGAUAUUAGGAAGAACACCGGUGGCGAAGGCGGCCCACUGGAUCGGCACUGACGCUGAGGUGCGACAGCGUGGGGAGCAAACAGG